rnacentral:pre_miRNA from 1 species
AAUAUAUGACGCCAUUGACUAUUUUAGAUACGUUUGACCAUUCGUCUUAUUUAAAAAUUUAUGUAAUUAUCAUUUAUUUUAUUGUGACUUGAUUUAUCAUAAAAUGUUAUUUAAGUAUGACUUAAAUUCUUUUAUAUUUGCAAACAAAAAAUGAAUAAGACAAAUGGUCAAACGUUUGCAAAAAAAUCAACGGCGUUAUAUAUU